AACGAACGCUGGCGGCGCGUCUUAAGCAUGCAAGUCGAACGGGAUCAAGAAAGCUUGCUUUCUUGUGAUAGUGGCGGAUUGGUGAGUAACACGUGGGUGACGUACCCUUCAGAUGGGGAUAGAUAUUAGAAAUAGUAGAUAAUACCGAAUACGGUUCCACAAGUUAGAGAGGUGGAAGGAAAGGAGCUUCGGCUCCGCUGAAGGAACGGCUCGCGGCCCAUUAGUUAGUUGGUAAGGUAAAGGCCUACCAAGACGAUGAUGGGUAUCCGACCUAAGAGGGUAAACGGACACAUUGGGACUGAGAUACGGCCCAGACUCCUACGGGAGGCAGCAGCUAAGAAUAUUCCGCAAUGGACGAAAGUCUGACGGAGCGACGCCGCGUGGAUGAUGAAGGCCGCAAGGUUGUAAAAUCCUUUUGAACUUGACGAAUAAGUACAGUAGGCAAUGACUGUAUGGUGACGGUAGAG
rnacentral:rRNA from 1 species